UAUGAGGAAGAAGGUUAAGUUGGCUGUGC
rnacentral:piRNA from 1 species